AUAGUCUCCUUCUUCUCUAAAGUUUGAAACGGUACCCCUCUCUCUCGCCAUUCUCUGUCGACUCCGGUGAGCGGCCGCCCUGAAUUGCAGCCUCCCUCUGGCGCGAAGAGGUCGGCCCCUGUUCUUCCUCCUCCUCUCCUUCCCUUUUGUGCCCUAUUUUUUCCCCAAGAACAAAAUCCUCAAUUUCUAGGGUUUUCAGCCUCUCUUUCCUCUCUGAAUUUCGCCCCUCCGGCGAAUCCCGCCACUACCACCGCCGCCUCGCACAGCUGCUCCCUGCCUCAGGGAGAGCUUGCACUCGCAUUUGGUGAAUUGUUGAGGAAACUCUGGUCUUCUGGUCGAACUCCAGUUGCACCUCGUGUAUUUUAGGGGAAACUUGCCCGUUUUGGUCCCCAGUUUAGUGGUUAUAAUCAGCAUGAUUCGCAACCCAUGCAUCAAAGAAAGGAUAGUUGGCAUCAGGCUGAAGUUUAUCUCCGGGACGACAGGGGUUAUCUUGCUGAUCAUAUAGGAGGAUCUAACAUCAUCACCACAGCCCAAGUGUGUACAUCUUUCUUUUUUGUAUUGUUGGAUUUGGUAUUUGAUUGUGUUGACAAAGGCGGGCUCAACUUGUGUUGGGCGAGGAGCUGAGGAAACAGAUUGGUGCAGCAGCUUACAUAGAAUGCAGCUCCAAGACUCAACAGAAUGUGAAAGGUGUUUUUGAUACUGCAAUCAAGGUUGUGCUUCAACCUCCACGGAGAAAGGAAGUGGCAUCGCAGAAGAAGCGAAACACUACUGGCUGCUCAAUUGUGUAUGCCUCUGGGACUACUUCAAUAAGAAGAAGCAAACUAUAUUAAUUCCAUGGAGAAGAUGGUGCUAUUCUUGUCCCUGGUGGUGUAGUUAGUAUAAAAUUGGGCGAUAUGAAGAACCUAGUGCUUAUAUGGUGGGAGAAUUGUUAGACAUAAAUGUAUGUGAUAUUUAUGAAUAUUUGGAUGACAAUGUAUGAAUAUUUUGGAUGUUA